UGGGGAAUAUUGCACAAUGGGCGCAAGCCUGAUGCAGCCAUGCCGCGGGUGUGAAGAAGGCCUUCGGGUUGUAAAGCACUUUCAGCGGGGAGGAAGGCGUUAAGGAUAAUAACCUUGGCGAUUGACGUUACCCGCAGAAGAAGCACCGGCUAACUCCGUGCCAGCAGCCGCGGUAAUACGGAGGGUGCAAGCGUUAAUCGGAAUUACUGGGCGUAAAGCGCACGCAGGCGGUCUGUCAAGUCGGAUGUGAAAUCCCCGGGCUCAACCUGGGAACUGCAUUCGAAACUGGCAGGCUAGAGUCUUGUAGAGGGGGGUAGAAUUCCAGGUGUAGCGGUGAAAUGCGUAGAGAUCUGGAGGAAUACCGGUGGCGAAGGCGGCCCCCUGGACAAAGACUGACGCUCAGGUGCGAAAGCGUGGGGAGCAAACAGG
rnacentral:rRNA from 1 species